rnacentral:rRNA from 1 species
UGAGUAACACGUGGGUAACCUGCCUGUAAGACUGGGAUAACUCCGGGAAACCGGAGCUAAUACCGGAUAGUUCCUUGAACCGCAUGGUUCAAGGAUGAAAGACGGUUUCGGCUGUCACUUACAGAUGGACCCGCGGCGCAUUAGCUAGUUGGUGGGGUAAUGGGUUACCCAAGGGGCCAUGCGUUUUCUACCUUUUAGGGUGAUUUGGUCACACUKGGACUGAGACACGGSCCAGACUCCUACGGGAGGCAGCAGUAGGGAAUCUUCCGCAAUGGACGAAAGUCUGACGGAGCAACGCCGCGUGAGUGAUGAAGGUUUUCGGAUCGUAAAGCUCUGUUGUUAGGGAAGAACAAGUGCGAGAGUAACUGCUCGCACCUUGACGGUACCUAACCAGAAAGCCACGGCUAACUACGUGCCAGCAGCCGCGGUAAUACGUAGGUGGCAAGCGUUGUCCGGAAUUAUUGGGCGUAAAGGGCUCGCAGGCGGUUUCUUAAGUCUGAUGUGAAAGCCCCCGGCUCAACCGGGGAGGGUCAUUGGAAACUGGGAAACUUGAGUGCAGAAGAAGAGAGUGGAAUUCCACGUGUAGCGGUGAAAUGCGUAGAAGAUGUGGAGGAACACCAGUGGCGAAGGCGACUCU